CCUACGGGUGGCUGCAGUGGGGAAUAUUGCACAAUGGGCGCAAGCCUGAUGCAGCCAUGCCGCGUGUGUGAAGAAGGCCUUCGGGUUGUAAAGCACUUUCAGCGGGGAGGAAGGCGUUAAGGUUAAUAACCUUGUCGAUUGACGUUACCCGCAGAAGAAGCACCGGCUAACUCCGUGCCAGCAGCCGCGGUAAUACGGAGGGUGCAAGCGUUAAUCGGAAUUACUGGGCGUAAAGCGCACGCAGGCGGUCUGUCAAGUCGGAUGUGAAAUCCCCGGGCUCAACCUGGGAACUGCAUUCGAAACUGGGAGGCUAGAGUCUUGUAGAGGGGGGUAGAAUUCCAGGUGUAGCGGUGAAAUGCGUAGAGAUCUGGAGGAAUACCGGUGGCGAAGGCGGCCCCCUGGACAAAGACUGACGCUCAGGUGCGAAAGCGUGGGGAGCAAACAGGAUUAGAUACCCGUGUAGUC
rnacentral:rRNA from 1 species